rnacentral:pre_miRNA from 13 species
GAAACUGGGCUCAAGGUGAGGGGUGCUAUCUGUGAUUGAGGGACAUGGCUAAUGGAAUUGUCUCACACAGAAAUCGCACCCGUCACCUUGGCCUACUUA